AAACCAACGCCCUUCGGGGCUCCUUGGUGAAUCAUAAUAACUUAACGAAUCGCAUGGCCUUGCGCCGGCGAUGGUUCAUUCAAAUUUCUGCCCUAUCAACUUUCGAUGGUAGGAUAGUGGCCUACCAUGGUGGCAACGGGUAACGGGGAAUUAGGGUUCGAUUCCGGAGAGGGAGCCUGAGAAACGGCUACCACAUCCAAGGAAGGCAGCAGGCGCGCAAAUUACCCAAUCCCGAUACGGGGAGGUAGUGACAAUAAAUACUGAUACGGGGCUCUUUUGGGUCUCGUAAUUGGAAUGAGAACAAUUUAAAUCCCUUAACGAGGAACAAUUGGAGGGCAAGUCUGGUGCCAGCAGCCGCGGUAAUUCCAGCUCCAAUAGCGUAUAUUAAAGUUGUUGCAGUUAAAAAGCUCGUAGUUGAACCUUGGGUCUGGCUGGCCGGUCCGCCUCACCGCGAGUACUGGUCCGGCUGGACCUUUCCUUCUGGGGAACCUCAUGGCCUUCACUGGCUGUGGGGGGAACCAGGACUUUUACUGUGAAAAAAUUAGAGUGUUCAAAGCAGGCCUUUGCUCGAAUACAUUAGCAUGGAAUAAUAGAAUAGGACGUGUGGUUCUAUUUUGUUGGUUUCUAGGACCGCCGUAAUGAUUAAUAGGGAUAGUCGGGGGCGUCAGUAUUCAGCUGUCAGAGGUGAAAUUCUUGGAUUUGCUGAAGACUAACUACUGCGAAAGCAUUCGCCAAGGAUGUUUUCAUUAAUCAGGGAACGAAAGUUAGGGGAUCGAAGACGAUCAGAUACCGUCGUAGUCUUAACCAUAAACUAUGCCGACUAGGGAUCGGACGGGAUUCUAUAAUGACCCGUUCGGCACCUUACGAGAAAUCAAAGUUUUUGGGUUCUGGGGGGGG
rnacentral:rRNA from 1 species